GUCGUGCGCGUGCGCAGGCGCCAGUCCUUCCUUCUCUUCGACCUGUCCGAUCGGCAGCGCUUCCCGGACUACCCACAUGCCCGCCCGCCACCCCUGUUCGCCGGCUGCCGGUCGUUCGAGGAGGAGGGACUUGGCGCCAGCCAGGACCAACAGAACUGGUGCAGAGAUGGCAGCUGUGAGUCGCCGGUGUACGGUCAGGACCGGGCCGGAGCGCCCUGCGAGGAUGAGCCUCCCUGGACAAGGCUAGCAAGUGCAUGGGCGCUCGUUCGUGCCAUCAAGCGCCGUACUGUUUAUAGAAAGUCUAACAGGUCCAUCUACAUACAUUUUCGAAAAAGAAAGCACUUUUGUCCCCUACCAUCA